rnacentral:rRNA from 14 species
UGGGGAACCAGGACUUUUACUUUGAAAAAAUUAGAGUGUUCAAAGCAGGCCUUUGCUCGAAUACAUUAGCAUGGAAUAAUAGAAUAGGACGUGUGGUUCUAUUUUGUUGGUUUCUAGGACCGCCGUAAUGAUUAAUAGGGAUAGUCGGGGGCAUCAGUAUUCAAUCGUCAGAGGUGAAAUUCUUGGAUUGAUUGAAGACUAACUACUGCGAAAGCAUUUGCCAAGGAUGUUUUCAUUAAUCAGUGAACGAAAGUUAGGGGAUCGAAG